UUUAAGUCAACACUUGACUUUAUUUUGUUGCAACUAGCAGGUUCAUUAUCCUGGAUCACUGAUUAAUGAUUCGCACCUUCUUGAAGGUCGAAUGAGCCUACUAGAUUCACAUAGAGCUGUCAUGUCCUCAGGAGUCUUUACUUCCUGAUCCAAAGUAUGUCCCAUAUCAGAUAUGGGAACAAACUCAGAUUUAUCUACUUGGUUAACUAUAUCUGUGGACUUUUGAACUCUUUCAAAAUUCUAUUUUACUCCCACUGUCCUCUCCUAGAGUAAACAUUUUCUCUAAGAAGACGAUAUGUCGUGAGAUGAAGACUUUCUUCAUGAUAAUAGAAUUUAUAUUCAAUUGUCUCCUUUUAAUAUCUCACAAAUAUGCAUUUAUCGGAUUUAGUCUCAAACUUAUCCGAUUUAAGGCGCUUCAAAUAAGCGUCAUGGCCCCAAUCUUUCAUAUAAGAUAAAUUGGGACUAUUGUCUUUCCAUAAC
rnacentral:lncRNA from 1 species